rnacentral:rRNA from 1 species
GUGAGGAAUUUUCCGCAAUGGGCGAAAGCCUGACGGAGCAAUGCCGCGUGAAGGAUGAAGGCCUAUGGGUUGUAAACUUCUUUUCUCAGAAAAGAAUUAUGACGGUAUCUGAGGAAUAAGCAUCGGCUGACUCUGUGCCAGCAGCCGCGGUAAGACAGAGGAUGCAAGCGUUAUCCGGAAUGAUUGGGCGUAAAGCGUCUGUAGGUUGUUUAAAAAGUAUUCUGUCAAAGAUUAGGGCUUAACCCUAGAUAGGCAGAAUAAACUUUUAAGCUAGAGUUUGGUAGAGGCAGAGGGAAUUCCCGGUGGAGCGGUGAAAUGCGUAGAUAUCGGGAGGAACACCAAAGGCGAAGGCACUCUGCUGGGCCAAUACUAACACUGAGAGACGAAAGCGAGGGGAGCAAAUGGGAUUAGAAACCCGAGUAGUCC